rnacentral:rRNA from 1 species
AUUGAACGCUGGCGGCAUGCUUUACACAUGCAAGUCGAACGGUAACAGGGUGCUUGCACCGCUGACGAGUGGCGAACGGGUGAGUAAUGCGUCGGAACGUGCCGAGUUGUGGGGGAUAACGCAGCGAAAGUUGUGCUAAUACCGCAUACGUACUGAGGUAGAAAGUGGGGGACCUUCGGGCCUCACGCUAUUCGAGCGGCCGACGUCUGAUUAGCUAGUAGGUGAGGUAAAGGCUCACCUAGGCGACGAUCAGUAGCGGGUCUGAGAGGAUGAUCCGCCACACUGGGACUGAGAAACGGCCCAGACUCCUACGGGAGGCAGCAGUGGGGAAUUUUGGGCAAUGGGCGAAAGCCUGAUCCAGCCAUGCCGCGUGUCUGAAGAAGGCCUUCGGGUUGUAAAGGACUUUUGUCGGGGAGGAAAUCCCCAGCGCUAAUACCGCUGGGGGAUGACAGUACCUGAAGAAUAAGCACCGGCUAACUACGUGCCAGCCGCCGCCGUAAAAC